rnacentral:misc_RNA from 1 species
UAAACGCGCGACACGGAAAACGACCCUCCAACGGUACUGAAGUCUUAGUCUUAGCAGAAUAGAAACAAAAAAAAAACCACAAGUGAAAAAUAAAUAAAUUUUUGUCUACACAUCACAUAUAACCAUGUAACAGUCUGCCACCAUUCAUGCAGCAGCUGUGGCGGAUGUCACUAUAAAAAGUAAACUGGAAUUACAACUGUUAUAUGGAUGUAUUGAAAUGCGGUGAAGGUGCCUUGCAUGGUGAAGGGCUCAACGCGAUAUCGUUAAUUUUGCAUAGCAGUGAAGUGAAUGUGUCGCAAUGUGGCAGUGGAAAGAAAUGCAAAUCUUACUGCAGGCCAAUUCCCAGUGCAAUCAAGUGAAGAAAAGCCUCGGGCAAGAGUGAAAUGAAGUGAAGUGUGCCGAGCUCGUCAGCUCGCCGAAGAGGAGUGAGGGCAAUUAAGUGUGAAGAAAUAGAAAUUUUUCGUCAAAUUACUCGCUCCAAAGUGCAUUUAAUAUAAUUCAAUUAGAGGAAAAUUGCAAAAUUGCAUAAUUUCUAACGGUAAAAUGUUGCAGCAAACUUAAGUCGCGACGCAAUAUUCGAAAAAGUUCUUAUUUACAGUUGCCAACCGUCGACUUGAUGUCAAUUUAUCCACUAAGAACUGCUAAACUCAACUAAUAAAUAAUUUGCAGAAGAACCCAUACGUACAUAUAUAUAAUGCAUCUUCAACAUUGUGAGCAAGCGAUCAACCGACGAUAGCAUGACCCGUGACGGAGAGAUACCUGCCAUAUUUAACCCGAAACGGGUGCGUACGCCAUCCGUUGUCGUAACCGGUGACUCUCCGAAUGGUCCGUAUGGUGGUUUCAGUAAUGCGCUCAACGCUAGCAAUCCACAAAUUGCCCACCAAGAUUCAAUUUCAUCAAGUCAACAGGAUCCGAGUGAGGUUAUAACAAUACAUCCAGAUGCACGUGAAGCGUCUACGCCGAUUGGUACGCAUCCCGGUUUGCGACGUGGACUCGGUGCUGGUGGUGGCAGUUUUGUGAGUAGUUGCCCUUUAAAUACUGGCAGUGCCGGUGGUGGUGGCGGCGGUGGUGGAAAUGAAUCGGAGCUGCCGACACUGGAGUCGGGCACAGAUGGAACUGAGGUGCGAUUUCGACGUUUGAAAGCUUUCAGAGAGUCAUGUUGUUCGGAGUUGGCACGGAAGAUGUACUUUGGUGUUUGUGUCACCAUACUCGUCACUGCAUCUUGGGUUGGCGCUACACAUUGCAUCAAAUUUCUCUACUUGAAUCGUAGCACAUAUGCGGCUAUAGCAGAUGACAUUGACAGCACGUCGGAUGGUGGCAUCGAAUUGGAUUUAAACAACAAUGAUGAUGAUGAUGAUGAUGAUGCAGAUGAUCAUAGUAAUCUUCUGGGCAUAAGUGAUACUGCUUUAAGCGUCACUGAGGUGCAGGAAGCUACCAAAUUUUUCCAGAUCGCACAUCCUACUUUACCCGAGUCCACAGUAUUCCGUGCACCCUUCUUCGCUGCUUGGUUUUUCACCAAUUUCUCCUUCUUCUUCUUCCCCAUCUAUGUUCUGGGUCGCAUGUCGUUGCGUAAAUGUGACAAACCGGGUGAGAUUUUGGGCGAUGUGCUACGCGGCUUUCGAGAUCGCGGCUUUACAAUCGGUCGUUUCCUCAAUCGCUGCCUCUCCUUCUGUAUACUGUGGCUGGUGACCACCUAUCUUUACACCAUGUCUCUACGCGUCCUCUUCGCCACCGAUGCUAUGGCCCUGUUCGCGACCAAUGUCGCUUGUGUUUACCUGCUGUCAUGGGUUAUUCUACACGAACAAUUUGUUGGCGUACGGAUUGUUGCAGUCAUUCUAUGCGACACUGGCAUUGCGCUGCUCGCCUAUAUGGAUGGCAUUACGGAGAGUCGCACGCUGAGCGGUGUUGUGCUGGCAACGCUGGGCGCUGCCGGUUAUGCAGUAUUUAGGGUUAUGUUCCGCAAGGUGAUGGGCGAUCCACCGAUUGGUCAGAUUGCUUUCACCUUCACCACACUCGGUUUUCUCAACGCCUUGCUGUUGUGGCCCGUCUGCGUGGGCCUAUAUUUGGCUGGUUAUGAGAGCAUGCCACCAGAUCGUAUGCCAUGGAUUAUUUUAUUGAUUGCCAGUAUUUUAUUAUUGGUUUUUCACAUCCUAAUGCAGUUCAGUGCUGCUGUUACCUAUAAUAUGUUCGUGACGCUGGGUUUAAUUACGGCAGUGCCGGUUUCAGGUGCAUUGGAUGUUGUCCUGUAUGGCGCCACAUUUGCUGGCAUGAAAUUGGCGGGUGUGAUAUUAAUCGCUGUUGGCUUUUUCCUCGUUAUGUUCCCCGAAAAUUGGCCAGACUAUAUUACUCGCUUGCUAAGAAAUAUCAUCUUGUUGGGUCACAACGCGAGAUACCACCAAAUACACGCGUACGAUUGCAACUUAAAUCAAAAAUACUAUACCGUCAAUUUUAAUGCCUUUGCCGAGUAAAAAUCGAAAAAUCCAAAAAUCGAAAAAUGAAAGUUUAAAGAAAAUCACGUCAAAUUAUAGGAAUUUAAAUGUAAACACUAUACAACACCAUUACACGUUACAACAAACACAACGAACAAUACUCGAGUCGCAUUCUCUCUCUCUCGCUCUAGCUCUCUCGAAACAUGCUUUAAACGCGCGCUUACUUAAUGCCAAAUGGGGUCGAGGUCCUCGCCACGGAUCGUUAGCCGGUCAGCAUCCCACCAUUAUCGAUUAUCG